rnacentral:piRNA from 1 species
CAAAAUACACAUACUAAAGGC